ACUCCGUACGGGAGGCAGCAGUGGGGAACUAUUGGUACAAUGGGGGAAACCCUGAUCCAGCAAUGCCGCGUGGAGUGAUGAAGGCCUUAGGGUUGUAAAGCUCUUUUACCAGGGAUGAUAAUGACAGUACCUGGAGAACUAAGCUCCGGCUAACUCCGUGCCAGCAGCCGCGGUAAUACGGAGGGAGCUAGCGUUGUUCGGAAUUACUGGGCGUAAAGCGCACGUAGGCGGUUACUCAAGUCAGAGGUGAAAAGCCCGGGGCUCAACCCCGGAACUGCCCUUUGAAACCUAGGUAACUAGAAUCCUGGAGAGGUGAGUGGAAUUCCGAGUGUAGAGGUGAAAUUCGUAGAUAUUCGGAAGAACACCAAGUGGCGAAGGCGGCUCACUGGACAGGUAUUGACGCUGAGGUUGCGAAAAGCGUGGGGGAGCAAAACAGGGAUUAGAUACCCCUGGUA
rnacentral:rRNA from 1 species